rnacentral:tRNA from 1 species
AAAGGGAGACCUAAUUCAGGUAGGAGACGAAAAAAAGUAGUCCCUACCAAGAAUCAAUCCCAAAAGGUCGGAGCGAGGCAAAAUUGGCUUUCAAACUAGGUUCUGGGUUCACAUAAGACCUGAAUCAGGAACAAGGGCUAUUAGCUCAGGUGGUUAGAGCGCACCCCUGAUAAGGGUGAGGUCCCUGGUUCGAGUCCAGGAUGGCCCACCUGCACAGGUGGCAAAAACAAAGAAAAGAAGCUCCGAAUCAGCACCUUAUCUUACUUAUACAGUAAGAGAGAAUGCUGGCUCUGAGUUCAGAGUCCAGAGGAACCUUGAAAACUGCAUAGAGCUAGGUGAAAAAGCCAAAAAAGAAGACCGCAAG